GAUGAACGCUAGCGGCAGGCUUAAUACAUGCAAGUCAAGGGGGUAGCAAUACAACCGGCGCACGGGUGAGUAACGCGUACACAACAUACCAUAUACUGGGGUAUAGCUUUGGGAAACUGAAGGUAAUCCCCCAUAACAUUGCGAGAGGGCAUCUUAUUGCAAUUAAAGUUUCGACGGUAUAUGAUUGGUGUGCGUUUGAUUAGCUAGUUGGUAGGGUAACGGCCUACCAAGGCGACGAUCAAUAGCUGGCGUGAGAGCGCGACCAGCCACACUGGAACUGAGACACGGUCCAGACUCCUACGGGAGGCUG
rnacentral:rRNA from 1 species